AUUGAACGCUGGCGGCAUGCUUUACACAUGCAAGUCGAACGGCAGCACGGGAGCUUGCUCCUGGUGGCGAGUGGCGAACGGGUGAGUAAUGCAUCGGAACGUACCCAGUAGUGGGGGGAUAGCCCGGCGAAAGCCGGAUUAAUACCGCAUAUUUCCUGAGGGAGAAAGCGGGGGACCUUCGGGCCUCGCGCUACUGGAGCGGCUGAUGUCGGAUUAGCUAGUUGGUGAGGUAAAGGCUCACCAAGGCGACGAUCCGUAGCUGGUCUGAGAGGAUGAUCAGCCACACUGGGACUGAGACACGGCCCAGACUCCUACGGGAGGCAGCAGUGGGGAAUUUUGGACAAUGGGGGCAACCCUGAUCCAGCCAUGCCGCGUGAGUGAAGAAGGCCUCGGUUGU
rnacentral:rRNA from 1 species